GAGUUUGAUCCUGGCUCAGGACGAACGCUGGCGGCGUGCCUAACACAUGCAAGUCGAGCGAUGAAGCCCUUCGGGGUGAAUUAGCGGCGGACGGGUGAGUAACACGUGGGUAACCUGCCUCAAAGAGGGGAAUAGCCUUCCGAAAGGAAGAUUAAUACCGCAUAAUAUGUUUUAAUCGCAUGAUUUUAACAUCAAAGGAGUAAUCCGCUUUGAGAUGGACCCGCGGCGCGUUAGCUAGUUGGUGAGGUAACGGCUCACCAAGGCGACGAUGCGUAGCCGACCUGAGAGGGUGAUCGGCCACAUUGGAACUGAGACACGGUCCAGACUCCUACGGGAGGCAGCAGUGGGGAAUAUUGCGCAAUGGGGGAAACCCUGACGCAGCAACGCCGCGUGAAUGAUGAAGGCCUUCGGGUUGUAAAGUUCUGUCUUCUGGGACGAUAAUGACGGUACCAGAGGAGGAAGCCACGGCUAACUACGUGCCAGCAGCCGCGGUAA
rnacentral:rRNA from 1 species